AAAGCACCCCGGAAGGGGAGUGAAAUAGAACCUGAAACCGUGUGCUUACAAGUAGUCAGAGCCCGUUAAUGGGUGAUGGCGUGCCUUUUGUAGAAUGAACCGGCGAGUUACGAUUUGAUGCAAGGUUAAGCAGUAAAUGUGGAGCCGUAGCGAAAGCGAGUCUGAAUAGGGCGUUUAGUAUUUGGUCGUAGACCCGAAACCAGGUGAUCUACCCUUGGUCAGGUUGAAGUUCAGGUAACACUGAAUGGAGGACCGAACCGACUUACGUUGAAAAGUGAGCGGAUGAACUGAGGGUAGCGGAGAAAUUCCAAUCGAACCUGGAGAUAGCUGGUUCUCUCCGAAAUAGCUUUAGGGCUAGCCUCAAGUGAUGAUUAUUGGAGGUAGAGCACUGUUUGGACGAGGGGCCCCUCUCGGGUUACCGAAUUCAGACAAACUCCGAAUGCCAAUUAAUUUAACUUGGGAGUCAGAACAUGGGUGAUAAGGUCCGUGUUCGAAAGGGAAACAGCCCAGACCACCAGCUAAGGUCCCAAAAUAUAUGUUAAGUGGAAAAGGAUGUGGCGUUGCCCAGACAACUAGGAUGUUGGCUUAGAAGCAGCCAUCAUUUAAAGAGUGCGUAAUAGCUCACUAGUCGAGUGACACUGCGCCGAAAAUGUACCGGGGCUAAACAUAUUACCGAAGCUGUGGAUUGUCCUUUGGACAAUGGUAGGAGAGCGUUCUAAGGGCGUUGAAGCAUGAUCGUAAGGACAUGUGGAGCGCUUAGAAGUGAGAAUGC
rnacentral:rRNA from 1 species